rnacentral:misc_RNA from 1 species
CCUUUAAUAAUCCUCACUGUUCGAUGUUUGUUGCAUUUGUUCUAUACCCAUUAAACAAGAGGCAUGUGGCUAUUCGGACCCUAUCAUGAAAGUGUGAAACGGGUGAAAGAUGUUGACAAUGAUGGAUUAUGGAAAAUGUCAAAAACCCAGCAAAACAAAUCCUAGAUGUACGUAGAAAUAUGAAUAUUAAACUAAUCCAAUUCACAAAAAUUAACAGUGAAAAUUAAUUGUGAAAGAACUGGACGGUUAAGUCCAUUUUUGAAUUACCUGUAUAGAUAAUCUCCUUAAAAAGGAUCUGUUUAAAGAUAAAUAAUUUAAUUUCACACUUAAGAUAUUUAGACCUUUGCUUAACCUAAUGAUAUAUUAUUGCCAAAAAAUCAUACCUAAAAAUUUAAGGUAGAUAUUAUUUAUAGUAUUCAGCCACCGUAGGCUUAUUGUAUCAAUUGUGUGUAUGAUGUGUGACUCUCUGCAAAGUAAACCUGAUUGUCAGUUUGCAAUUCAAGAUUUAACAAGUGACAUCAAAAUAAUGUAUGGAAAUAAUGGAAUCGUGGCAUACCAGGAUUUGAGUAGUUUCUGUUUAAAAAGACACAAGAUUUUAAACACAAAGUGGCCUAGUUUCUGACCGCCAUUGUUCUGAGCAUUGAUUAAGCUGUAUUUGGAUUAAGUUUUCCCCAGGUUUUGCUGCUGUAUAGUUAGUUGCAUGAACCAUACACUAAACUUAUAUGUUCUGUCAUGGAAUAGGUAUAUAUCUACACCUCAGAUCAAACGAUCAAUGAAUUUAAAAUCUGACAACUCCACAUGUAUGAGCACGACUAUAUGCAAACAUGCCCAUGUUAAAUAAAUACAAAAUUAAGGGAAGGGGGGGGGGGCAUGCAAGAGGACGGUGAUUGGGAAAUGCUCUCACCAGUUAAAGGCUCGCAUAGAUCUGGCACAUUGUCGCAGAUAUCACCGUGUAGAAACCUGAAGGGGACUCCAAGUAUUUGACUUGCAGACGAAAAUUGCAAAAAUCAAGAUGGCGAACUUUGUGGGACGAUGGGAAGACACUGGCGAUAAGGAAAACUUUGAAGAAUUUGCCACCGCUAUGGGUUUGCCGGCAGACAUCUUGGAGAAAUACCGGGCGACCAAACACACCAUUCAAUACGGCAUCAAUGGCAACACAUGGACCAUGAACCUCUCCAGCACCUUCUUUCCUGGAAAAGAGAAAGUCUACACUUUUGAAAUCGGGAAAGACAUGAAUGAUACUGGUUUAGAUGGCAACCCCAUUAAAUCUGUGGUAACUGUGGUGAGUGACAACGAAAUCUCUGAGAACAUGAAGGUAAAGAUGGGCGACUCAUGGAAGGACUAUAAGGUCUCCAGGAAGGUGGACGGGGACACAAUGACCACGACGGUAUCAGCUUUUGGAAAAACUAUGAGCAGCAAACAGAGAAAGUUGAAAUAAAUGUCCUGUAGCAGUUCAUCUAGUUCUGCCAUCGACCGAAGGAAAUAUUAAGAGGGGUGGAUGGUCGUGGCCAUUUCCAAGCUAUAUAAUUACCUCCUUGACUUGGAGAGCUCUGCAUGUAUAAAGAUAUAAGAAUAUGCUUAAAAUUCAAAACAUGGAUGAUUUGUUGACCAUUCAGUUUCUUUAAAUACGAUCGCCAUAUUGGUUUUGAACAAUUAAAUAAUGUCAUACACACC